UACGAAUUCACGGCAAUGCUUAAAUCAGACUAGAACUAAACAAUUUGGGUUUUGGGUUUGUUGAGAUUUGCGGAAUAGAAUUGUAAAUAAGCUAAGAGAAAGUAGAUUGAAACAGAGAAAAGAAAAACGUUUUUCUCCUUAGAUUCAGAAUAAUGGUGGCUACAAGUGUUUUAUAAAGGGAUACAAGAGAACCCUAAUACAUAUGGGCUGCCUAAUGGGCUUUUAUAAAGACCUUCUAAAAGAUUCUAAAGCCUUAUAAAACCUUCUAAACCCUUAUAAAGCCUUAUAAACCCUUAUAAAGUCCUUGCUGAAUAUGAACCAUGCUUUACACUCCCCCUCAAGCUUAACCGUAGGAU
rnacentral:lncRNA from 1 species